rnacentral:rRNA from 1 species
GACGAACGCUGGCGGCGUGCCUAAUACAUGCAAGUAGGACGCAGUUGCGAACGGGUGAGUAACGCGUAGGUAACUACCUAUUAGAGGGGGAUAACUAUUGGAAACGAUAGCUAAUACCGCAUACUAGUAGAUGGACCUGCGUUGUAUUAGCUAGUAGGUAGGGUAAUGGGCUACCUAGGCAACGAUACAUAGCCGGCCUGGGGGGGUGAUCGACCACACUGGGACGGAGAAACGGCCCAGAAUCCUACGGGAGGCAGCAGGAGGGAAACUUCGGCAAUGGGGGGAACGCUGGCCGAGCAACGGCGCGGGAGUGGAAAAGGGUUUCGGAGCGUAAAGCUCUGUUGUGAAGGAAGCGUUACUUAACCAGAAAGGAACGGCUAACUACGUGCCAGCAGCCGCGGUAAUAC